UCGGGUAUGGUGUAACGGUAACAUUUCUGACUCUCAGCAUCUCUAGGGAUUGAGCACUCAGGGGCCCGGGGUUCGAUUCCCCGUAUCCGAG